AACUUUCAACAACGGAUCUCUUGGCUCUCGCAUCGAUGAAGAACGCAGCGAAAUGCGAUAAGUAAUGUGAAUUGCAGAAUUCAGUGAAUCAUCGAAUCUUUGAACGCACCUUGCGCCCCUUGGUAUUCCGAGAGGCAUGCCUGUUUGAGUGUCA
rnacentral:rRNA from 1 species